UGGUAAACUCAUGUGGUGUACACAUAUCUUAAAACCGUUCUACAUAAGUACAAUCGGUAGAAAAUUUAUAUCUUUCUCAUCUUAUGUUGUAAUUAAAUAUUAGGUACACAUGUGCCUAGUCAAUUUAAUUUGCUUUAAAAAGCUAGCUAGGUUCGUUCUGUAUAUUGGUCGAUGUCACUGUUCAAUUCGAUUUAUAAUGGAUUUUUAAUUCCAUAACACAUGAAAUCACAAAGAAUAUGUCAACCUCUAUAACGCAGAUACUCUUUAUCUUAUGUCGUAUUUUCUAGACUGGGGCAUAGUUUAAACGUAACUGUU